CCUGUGCAGGGUGAUGGCGUUCCACCUUAUUCCAACCGCCUCGUUUCAGUAGGCUGAUGACGCCUGAUAUGAC
rnacentral:ncRNA from 19 species